rnacentral:rRNA from 1 species
AACGAACGCUGGCGGCAGGCUUAACACAUGCAAGUCGAACGCCCCGCAAGGGGAGUGGCAGACGGGUGAGUAACGCGUGGGAAUCUACCCAGAACUUCGGAACAACUGAGGGAAACUUCAGCUAAUACCGGAUACGCCCUACGGGGGAAAGAUUUAUCGGUUCUGGAUGAGCCCGCGUUGGAUUAGCUAGUUGGUGGGGUAAUGGCCUACCAAGGCGACGAUCCAUAGCUGGUCUGAGAGGAUGAUCAGCCACACUGGGACUGAGACACGGCCCAGACUCCUACGGGAGGCAGCAGUGGGGAAUAUUGGACAAUGGGCGAAAGCCUGAUCCAGCCAUGCCGCGUGAGUGAUGAAGGCCUUAGGGUUGUAAAGCUCUUUCAGUAGGGAAGAUAAUGACGGUACCUACAGAAGAAGCCCCGGCUAACUUCGUGCCAGCAGCCGCCGUAACAC